GUCUAGGAACCCUGGGUGGUCGAGCAAAUCUCGGACAAGCCCCCAAAUGAAAGACCCCCCGAAGGGAGACCCUCGCUCAAAUCUCGGGAAUAGCGCAAACCCAGUGAGGCACCGAGACCG
rnacentral:pre_miRNA from 11 species